AGGCAGAUGCCAGGUUGUUGUCCUCACACAUGAGUCUGUUUGAAGAACUCUCCCUAAGACUCUCCACACCACUCCUCUGGCCACCCUCCUGACUCAAAGGCUCAUCUGUAACUUAUUGGUCACUCACCUCCUGGUGCACUCUCCAUCGUCCAAACAUCCAACCUUGAAGAGAAGGACAGAAGGAGACAAUAACUAAUUCAACCAAUCAUCAAUCUGUUGCCAACCUCAGUCUCUGCUGAUGAGUUCACCACCUGUGCACCAUGCCGUCCUGGAUUCUUGAUCUAAAACAAGAAGAAUCAUCUCACUGUGCAGAUUUACUAAUAAACCUUUCAAACUUUCCUUUGGUUUCUGUGAUUACUACCUGCAAGAGAUUUUUAUUUUGUCAGGAACAUGACAUAAGCGGGUCGAGAAGAUGGAUGGAUGGAUGGGUGGAUGGAUGGAUGGAUGGAUGGGUGGCCUUUCUGAAAUAUUACAUAAGACUGAUAAUAUUAAAUAUGACUUAUAAAAAUAAGUCAAGAUAGUCAAAUUUCAAGCCAGAACCAGAAAAAUAAUGCAUUCAAAUUCUGUUGCAUCUUUCUCUAAAGGGUAGGGGUAACAAACCGACCAUGGGAGCGAUGCUGAAGGUCAUUAAUAAUGUAGAUGGUUUUGUGAACACACUGUUAAUGGGUGAUCUCCAGAA